UACGGUGGAUGCCUAGGCUCUUACAGGCGAUGAAGGACGUGAUAAGCUGCGAAAAGCCGCGGGGAGAUGCAAAUGAUCUUUGAUCCGCGGAUAUCCGAAUGGGACAACCCAGUGGAGCAAACCUCCACUAUCCCGCAAAUGCGGGAGGCGAACGCUGGGAACUGAAACAUCUUAGUACCAGUAGGAAGAGAAAAUAAAAAUGAUUCCCCUAGUAGUGGCGAGCGAACGGGGAAGAGCCCAAACCAUCGGGAUUCCGGUCCUGGUGGGGUUGUAGGACUGCGUGAUUGCAAGAAUUAUGGUGAGAAGAAGCAACUGGAAAGUUGUGCCAUAGCGGGUGAUAGCCCCUUAUUCGAAGCCAUAUGAAGCAUAGCAGUAUCCUGAGUAGCGCGGGACACGAGAAAUCCUGUGUGAAUCCGGCGGGCCCAUCCGCCAAGGCUAAAUACUCGUAAGAGACCGAUAGCGAACCAGUACCGUGAGGGAAAGGUGAAAAGCACCUCGUGUAGAGGAGUGAAAAAGUUCCUGAAACCGUACGCCUACAAGCGGUCGGAGCUCCCUUGAGGAGUGACGGCGUGCCUUUUGCAUAAUGAACCUACGAGUUGCCGGUAUCAGCAAGGUUAAGGGUCUAGAAGUCCCGCAGCCGAAGCGAAAGCGAGUCUUAACAGGGCGCUGAGUUGUUACAGGCAGACGCGAAACCAAGUGAUCUACCCUUGUCCAGGAUGAAGUCCGGGUAACACCGGAUGGAGGUCCGCACCAAUAAGCGUUGAAAAGCUUCUGGAUGAGGUGAGGGUAGGAGUGAAAGGCCAAUCAAACUUGGAGAUAGCUCGUACUCCCCGAAAUGCAUUUAGGUGCAGCCUAUGGUGUUUACUGCGUGAGGUAGAGCGACUGAUCGGAUGCGAGGGCUUCACCGCCUAUCAAGUCCGGACAAACUCCGAAUGCGCGCAGUUAAUAGCCAUGGAGUGAGGGCGCGGGUGCUAAGGUCCGUGCCCGAGAGGAGAAGAAUCCAGACCAUCAGCUAAGGUCCCGAAGUAAUGAUUAAGUUAAACUAACGAAGUGUGGUCUCAGCGACAGCUAGGAUGUUGGCUUGGAAGCAGCCAUUCAUUCAAAGAGUGCGUAACAGCUCACUAGUCGAGAGACCGUGCAUGGAUAAUAAUCGGGUAUUAAAUCAUUCACCGAAGCUAUGGAAACCGUAAGGUUUGGUAGGGGAGCAUUCCAAGUGCGUUGAAGGUAUGAGAUGACUCAUACUGGAGCGCUUGGAAAAGCAAAUGUAGGUAUAAGUAACGAUAAAGGGGGUGCGAUGCCCCCUCGCCGCAAGACUAAGGAUUCCCGGGCAACGUUAAUCGGCCCGGGGUAAGUCGGGACCUAAGGAUAAGCCGAAAGGCGAGGCCGAUGGAAGAGACGGUAAAAAUUCCGUCACUAGCUUAUGGGGCGAUGUGGAGACGGAGAAGUGACACUGCCGCGUUCUGACGGAAAUGGACGUUAAAGAGUGUAGGCAAUGAGGAAGGCAGGCAAAUCCACCUUCCGAGCUGAACUUGAAAGUAUGCAAGGCCUUCGGGCUGCGCAAUAGUGCAGGUAAACAGACUCCCGAGAAAAUCCGCUAAGCUUAACCCAUAAGGUACCCGUACCGUAAACGGACACACGUAGUCGGGUAGAAUAUACUGAGGCGCUUGGAAGAUUCAUGGUUAAGGAACUAGGCAAAUUGACCCUGUAACUUCGGGAGAAAGGGUCCCUGCAGCAAUGUAGGGCGCAGAGAAUAGGUCCAGGCAACUGUUUAACAAAAACACAGGGCUGUGCAAAAUCGAAAGAUGAAGUAUACAGUCUGACACCUGCCCGGUGCCGGAAGGUCAAGAGGAGAGCUCAUCGCAAGAGAAGGCUUGAAUUGAAGCCCCGGUAAACGGCGGCCGUAACUAUAACGGUCCUAAGGUAGCGAAAUUCCUUGUCGGGUAAGUUCCGACCUGCACGAAUGGUGUAAUGAUCCGGACGCUGUCUCAACCAUGAUUCCAGUGAAAUUGUAGUAUCGGUGAAGAUGCCGAUUACCCGCGAUGGGACGAAAAGACCCCGUGAACCUUUACUAUAGCUUAACGUUGUAACUGGGCAAGGGAUGUGUAGGAUAGGCCGGAGGCUAUGAAGCGUGCACGCCAGUGUAUGUGGAGCCGCUGUUGAAAUACGGCCCUUCCACUGUCUGGUUCCUAACUCGCUAGAUGCGAGGACACCGUUUGGUGGGUAGUUUGACUGGGGUGGUCGCCUCCAAAAGCGUAACGGAGGCUUCUAAAGGUACCCUCAGACCGAUUGGUAACCGGUCGUAGAGUGUAAUGGCACAAGGGUGCUUGACUGGGAGACUAACAAGUCGCACAGGUAGGAAACUAGAGCAUAGUGAUCCGGUGGUUCCGUAUGGAAGGGCCAUCGCUCAAAGGAUAAAAGGUACUCCGGGGAUAACAGGCUGAUCCCUCCCAAGAGCUCAUAUCGACGGAGUGGUUUGGCACCUCGAUGUCGGCUCGUCACAUCCUGGGGCUGGAGAAGGUCCCAAGGGUUGGGCUGUUCGCCCAUUAAAGUGGCACGCGAGCUGGGUUCAGAACGUCGUGAGACAGUUCGGUCUCUAUCUAUCGUGGGCGUAGGAAAUUUGCGUGGCUCUGACACUAGUACGAGAGGACCGUGUUGGACAGACCUCUGGUUUACCGGUUGUGACGCCAGUUGCACCGCCGGGUAUCUAAGUCUGGAUGGGAUAAGCGCUGAAAGCAUCUAAGUGCGAAGCCCGCCACAAGAUGAGAUUUCCUCAUAAGGGUCGU
rnacentral:rRNA from 1 species